rnacentral:lncRNA from 1 species
UUUCGUUGCAAAAGCCUGCUAAUUGGCAACGAAUUGAACUCUUUUUUUUUAUAACGACCAUGCAUUUUCGUUGCAAUUGACACCAUUUUGCAAUGACAUUUUUUGUUGCAGUAAAUUAUGAAAAUUGUUACCUAAGCUUGUUUUCGUUGCGGAAUGAAAACUUUAUAUUAUUUGACAACGACAUUAUGCUGAAUCAACAACGAAAAUGUUUGUUGCUGGUUAUUUUUCAGUAGCAACGAAAGUCGUCGAUUAGCAACAACAUUAUAUGUUGUCGUUUCUUUAUAUGUGUAACGAAAGUUGAUAUGAUUUGCAACGAUAAAAAAUGUUGCCUUUUAUUUUAGUAUUAGCAACAAUAUCCUCUCCGUUGUUAUUAGGUUAAUUUUUCGUUGUCAAAUAUUAUAUUUUUAAUGCCAUUAGUAACGAAAAUUUGUUGUUAAAUGUGUGACGCCCCCAAAACAGGUAUACAUCAC